UACGUAGGGGGCUAGCGUUGUCCGGAAUCAUUGGGCGUAAAGAGCGUGUAGGCGGUCCGGUAAGUCGGCUGUGAAAGUCCAGGGCUCAACCCUGGGAUGCCGGUCGAUACUGCCGGACUAGAGUUCGAAAGAGGCGAGUGGAAUUCCCGGUGUAGCGGGUGAAAUGCGGCAGAGUAUCGGGGGGAACACCGUAUGGCGAAGGCGAGCUCGCUGGGACGGUUACU
rnacentral:rRNA from 1 species